AACCUAAUCUAAUUAGGUCCAAGACAUAUUAAGCUCAUGUGUUACAAUUAAUUAGAACUCUUUUAAUUAAUUACUGAAUUAAACUCUUUAAUUCAUAAGAACUUACAAGUCAAGAUUGACGUCUGGCAAUAUGUUAUGACUAUCCAGAAGAUGUGAAAUUUUGGUAGAAUAUCAAAAUAUCCUUCCGUGGUGAGUUACUAUGUAAUUCAAUCCUUCGAUCAUACAACAUUCCCAAUAAGUCAUGAGUAUGGAAUCAUGUCAAAUCCAAAUACCUAUUCAUAUGUAUUUUGAUUUGAUGAUGAUGACUCGGUUGAUAAAAUAUUAGAAAUUUUUUCUAAUUUUCAUCCUACUUUGGCCAA
rnacentral:lncRNA from 1 species